rnacentral:rRNA from 1 species
AUGGUCAAAUUGGUAGCUUCUUAUGAUGAGGAAAUUGGUGCGGUUGUAUUGGGUAAUGCUCCAGGGAAUGCUAAGUAUACCUCACCUACAAUUCAGAAAGAACUUCUGCAUAUGAUUGCUUUUAAUGUGCAAAAAGAAAUUCGUAAAGAAAUUGGGGAUGCAAAGUUCUGCUUGCUUGUAGACGAGUCAAGAGAUGAAUCCAAAAGAGAGCAAAUGGCAGUGGUUAUUCGUUUUGUGGACAAACCUGGUUUCACUUGUGAACGUUUUCUUGAUAUUGUUCAUGUCUCCGAUACAUCUUCAACUACUCUAAAAGGGAAGUUAACUUCUGUGUUGGCUCAACAUGGAUUAGUUGUGAACAAUAUUCGUGGAGAGGGGUAUGAUGGUGCUAGUAACAUGCGUGGAGAGUGGAAUGGUCUACAAGCCAAGUUCAUGGAAGAGUGUCCUUACGCAUAUUACAUUCACUGUUUUGCUCAUCAAUUGCAGCUUGCUCUUGUUGCUGCAUCUAAAGAAGUAGCCGAUGUUCACAACUUUUUCGAUCAUCUUGCUCUUGUUGUCAACACGGUUGUGUCUUCGAGCAAGAGAAAUGAUGAGCUGCAAGUUAAUCAAGUGGCUGAAAUGGAGCAUCUAAUUGAGCUUAGUGAGCUUGAAACCGGAAGUGGGGCUAAUCAAGUAGGAACUUUGCGGCCUUGUGACACUAGGUGGAGUUCUCACUAUGCUUCUAUCUGCAGCCUUUUGAAACUAUACAAACCUACAUUCUUGGUACUUAAAAGCAUUGCUACUGCCAAAGGUUCAGGUACCUCACCUUCAGCACGAGCAAAGGCUUCUGGUGCUGUUAAGUUGAUGAUGUCUUUUGACUUCAUAUUUGUUCUUCAUGUCAUGAAAGAACUUAUGGGAAUCACAGACUUGCUAUGCAAAAAGUUGCAACAAAAAUCUCAAGAUAUUGUGAAUGCCAUGGAUGAUGUUAAAACUACAAAAGUGUUGAUUCAGGAACUAAGAGAUAAUGGUUGGAACAAGCUUAAAGCUGAUGUGCUUUCAUUUUGUGGGAAACAUGGAGUUCCAACACCACAUUUCGAUGACCUCUAUGUGGAUUUCAUUAACUCACGUGCGGAUGAUGAGACUACAGUUGAGCAUCAUUAUCGGUGUGACGUUUUCAUGGUUGCCGUUGAUCAGCAAGCACAAGAGUUGAAUUGUAGAUUCAACAAACAAGCAACAGAGCUUCUAAUUCUAUGCACCUUCUUGGACCCUAGUAAUUCAUUCAGAUCAUUUAACAUUGAUAAUAUAUGUUCUCUAGCAUCAAAAUUCUAUCCAGCUGAUUUUGAAGAACAAGAAAGGAACAAUCUAAGGUGUCAGUUGCGACAUUAUGAAAAUGUUGUACCCACUAACCCAAAGUUUCAAAAUUUGACAAGUAUAUCAGAAUUUUGUCAACAACUUGCAGCAACCGGGAAAUCGGAUGAAUAUCAUUUGAUUGAUAGACUGAUUCGACUUGUUCUUACUCUACCGGUUUCAACGGCAACGACAGAACGUGCAUUUUCUGCCAUGAAACUUGUGAAGACAAGGCUUCAGACUAAAAUGGAAGAUGGAUUUCUAAGGGAUUGCCUCGUAAUUUAUAUUGAAAAGGAGAUUGCGGCUGGAAUAUCAACAAAUGCAAUUAUUGAUGAGUUCGAUGAAUCGUCACGCCGAGUGCCAUUUACGUAA